GUCCGCUUGGGCAGUACAUAUACUAAAAUUGGAACGAUACAGAGAAGCCCUGCACAAGAAUGACACGCAAAAUCGUGAAUAUUCCACAUUUAU
rnacentral:snRNA from 1 species